rnacentral:lncRNA from 1 species
CGGGACAGAAAGUUCGGCAUCGACGGGGCGGGAGGUGGGGGCGCUGCCCCGCGCCUUUGUUCAGCGGGGAGAGGACCUGCGGCGGAGCCGAGACGACCGCGCAGAUAGGCACGCACCCGGCAGCGCGGCCCCGCGCCCACGGGACGAGGAGGAGGAGGGAGGCAGAAGGUCCCCUUGCAGCCUCCCUCACUCUCUCCCUCCCUCCAAGGUCAAAACAUGGCUGUCCAAAGAAUGGGAUGCUUGCCAAAACAUCAAUCUGUGCUGAGUGCCAUACUCAUUAUCCUUCCAGUGGUGGAUUACAACUCGGGUCUCCUCAGGAGGUGACUGAUGUGGAACAAACUGUACGACUGUCUUUGCUGUUUGGAUACGUGUGUAAGUUAACGGGCUACUGGGAGAAGAUGAAGAGGCUUUUGCAGAAAAAUGAGGAUAUCAUGGGAAGUGCUGCUGCUAACCAUUUGGAUUAUAUUGCUGUCUGACACAGAAGUUCUGCAGAUUACGUAAGGAACUCUCCAGAUCUUUUUUGUUAUGUGAUUGCUGAAGCAUUUUCCUGGCACAGCAGUAAUGAUUGAUGAACACACUUCAGGGCUGUCCGCAUAUACAGAGGUGCAGCACAGCCCCUGGCUCUCAAUACAACCUUCAGAUGAAGGAGGAAAAAUAACAGUUCCAGGCAUUGUAAAAGAGGACCUUCUUCUCUGAUGAGGACAUUGCUGAGUUUAACUAGCAGAAGGUAAGCAUGGCUAGAGGAUGGCAAAUCUGGGUGGGACAUAACCACGGAUAUUAUCAACACAGCCUCAAAGGUGUGUUUUCCUCUCUGUAGCUCCCAGCAGCCUUCCUGAGGUUGCUGAAUUAAACCAGACUAGCUGGCUGGAAAGAUGGACGUAUUUGGAAUAUUUUUGGUACACAUUCAUUUCUCCUCAUUCUGCCUUCCAAACAACGUGUCCUAUGGGCAGCAUGCUGUACUGUCAAAUAUUUUAAGCAUGGCCUCUUCCUACCUUGUUGCACCUGUUUAUCUACUCUGUUUGACCCCAGCUCCUUCAGAUGGCAGUCUCAGUGUAAUGACAGACUUGUACAGUUCCUUAUGCAAUCUGUGUGCCAAAGCCAACCACAGUUAUCCCCCCAGCUCCUGAUCUGGGCAGCAGUGUGAAAUCACUGCCAUGAGGUCACUGCACUGCUGUGCCCUUGGGUCCAGCUCCUAGCCACAUAUGGCUCACUGUCACAUACAUGUAUCACCGCUGACUGUGUCUUCACGUGGUGAUGCACUGAACAUGGAUUGCUGUUGUCUCCUCUCUAAUUGAAAGGAGAUCUUCCCAAUAUAUUUUGUUAGUGUGUGAUUUUUUGUUUUUUUAAAUUAUUCCUUUAUAAGCUUUUUUAAUUUAUUUUAUUCCUUUAUAAGCUUAUAUCCCUGCAUACAUCCUAGCAAAAAAGAAAUGGGCUGAUAAAGAUUUAGAUAGGCACUCUAAGAAUGAGGAUGACAUUCAAGCUCAAAAGAGAAAAAAAAAAAAUUCUGAAAGUCAACCCUGUUAUAUUUUCUGUUCUUUUCUUUCAACUUCUAAAAUGUCACUGCCAAGAGCAGUGACCACAGUGGUGAAUGAAGCUAUGGAAAAAGAGAACUGAAUCUCUGUUUGUGUUGUCGUUAUAAGAUCUUGUCCCCUCUGUUCUGAAAAUGUGACUCAGGGAAAUGUGUGCAUAGAAUUUCAGAAAUAAAUACCUGGUCUCUUUCUAGCAUGAAAAUACUUGGAAUGCGAAAAGAUUACCUUUAUGCAUAUGCUUUGUUUGUGAAAUGGAUUGGUGAAAUUUGGCAUGCUUCUUAAAGAGGCCUUUUGCCAGUCUUUCCCCAUAGUUUUAAGUCAUGCCUUUGCAUAAUGAUGUAAUCUACAGUGGGCAGGAAGAAUUCAGCAUAACUAUGAAUAAUGGCAGUAUUUGUGGUGAACUGGUCGUGACAUUCUCACUUGAGCAUUUCUCUUUGGGAACUACUUCUUCAAGUCAUGAGGCUUGCAGUAACGUCAAGAGAAAGAUCAGCACAAGAAUAGCCUGGGUGAGGGAGAAAGAGGACACUUGUUUUAGAGGGUCCACCACAGAAGGAAAGGAAAAGAGACUUGCUUGGAAUACUGACAUUUUUAGUCAUCUCUUUGUGACAUUCCCUCCACCACCCCCACAUAUUCUAUAUGUCUGCAGCCAUCUGCACAAAACUCACCGGAAUCCCAGUGAGGGGGAAAAACAACUUGUAAGAAACUAGGUGAGUAGAGAAGUAAAGGGGAAGCACUGAGCUGGUAAGAGCUUCUCAGCAGUAUUUAAGAGCAAACAAACGAACAACAAAGACAACCAUAAACAAAAAAAGCUGAAAAAAGAGUUUAUGCUUUUAAAUGUGCUGGAAUCAGACAUGCUACUCCAGAUAUAGAUUCUUCUGGGCAGAGGAAGUAGGGAAAUGUGUUAGUUCUUAGGACAGUGUUAAAGUAGGGACAGAAUGUAAACGGUGUCAUGUCAGAAUGAGCUACAUCCAUCAUGCCUCAUUGGUGUCCAUUGGUAUCUUUGAAGGUUAGGUGUAUAGAGAUAAGUUAUUUAUUAUGUAGUAGACAGAAAUAUGUGAAGAAAGCAGGCCUCCCAGUUGUAACUUAAAAAGGCAAAGAUGCUCCUAUGGGUAAAUACUUGCAGUCGUUACAAAUAGGAAUAACUUGGGCACUAGUUUUGAGUAAGAGCAGGUUUAAAGUAAUGUGGUAAUGCUGAUUAGAUGUGUAGAGUUUAAUUGCAUUCUGCAAAAAUAUGUUUACAGGAAGACAAGUUAAAUGGGAAAGGAAUAUCUGUGGUUCAGGACAGAAGAAUUAUUAGUGUUUCAGUGACUUUUGUAAACUUAAAAUCUGGGAUGUCAGGUGUUGAUUGAGAAUGUUACAAGUACUCAGGCUUAGUUUAAAUUCAGUCUCCCAAAAUUUGUUUAAAUAUGUGAGUAAGAAUUCCAAAUAUUGUGGUGGCAGAAGAGCUAACACUUAUUACAUUGUUCAUGUGUCAUUUACAGGACACUGGGAACAGUCAAAGAAGCAGAAAGUUAUACCAUUCUUCUCUAUUGUAAAAUAUUACUGAAAAAAUCAACAAGAGAAGCAGAAAACAUGAUUGACAAUUUUGAAAAAAGUGAUACAAAGAGAACAUUUGGCACUGUGUCCUUUGUGUUACUUAAGAGAUUCUUCCAAUGUACCAAAAAAUAACUCUGUCCUCAAAAAAGACAAAAGAAAACCGUGUCAAAUAUGGUACAUUUCUGACAGUGUGGUGAAUUUCUGCAGGUAUUUUUCAAACGUAAAAUGAAUUAUUCUAAACAACAGUAGCCUUAUUCAAGAUUUCACAAAGUUACACAAAGCAUAUUAAAAUGGUGUAUUUUGUUCUGAAGUCCAGUUGAUCCAUAGUUAAAAGGGUUGAAGCUAACCUUGUAACCUAGUGCAGCGAGGGUAUGUUCAAAAUUGUUAGUAGUAAUGAGCCUGAAAUGUGACCUAUAGUUUUCAAAACAGUUGGAAAAAGUAGUUUCACACAGUGAAUGAUCAAACUUCUUUAAAAUACAUUCUGCAUUUUAUCUGACUUGUGUAAGAAUUUGUAACCAGAGACUAUAGAUCAAUCACUCAUCCGAAGUAAGCAGGGAUGUUAACUUAGCAGAGGAAGGAAUAACCAGCUUUUUUUUUUUGUCUCAGUUGUGUGACAAAAGUAUAUGGAAGUUCCAGCUGAAAGUAAGGGCCUGUGUUGUUUGGUCGUGUAUAAAACUAGUGUACACUGCACAGCUCGGUGUAAGAAAAGAUUGCAUAGAGAGUGUAUGCAAUAAAGUAUCUGACAUGAGAAAGUUAUAUGAAGAAUUUUGUGAGGAAGGAGUAGGAAUAAUUAUAUAAAAUUUAUUUUGCUAUGAUUAAAAUCAUGCAGAUGAUAGCCUGAAUUCUUGUGAUUUUGCCUUUCAUUUGAGAAGGAGUGUGUGGGAAGUUUGAUUUUAAGCUGAAGUAACCUAAAUGAUCUGCAUUAUUUGGGAAUACUUUUAAUUUAAUGCCCUGUGAUGCAGUAGUUUAUGAGAAGAAUUUCACUCAAUCGUGACCCAGAAAUAUUAAGUGUUCCCUUAAUGAACAAUACCCAAUUCUUCACUGAAACCAUGAGGCAGUCUUUUCUUAGGCAGACAGUUGAGUUUUUCAGUAUAAUAUCUGUAACACUGCACAACAAUAUUUACAUACACAGAAUGGGCAAUUGAACACUUCAGACCAAUUCAUAGUUGUUGCAGUGGGCUUAACUUCUUUGAAAUGCAUUGAUGCCCCAGCCUACAAGAUGGCUCAAUAUGAUCUCUCAGCUUUUCAAAGCUAUGUUACUGAAAAUACUAUGGAGGCUGACUUGGAAAUUUGUUUCCUAAUUAUACUGUUCCUUUCCUGCUAAGGAUGUGGCUUCAAUCAGUUACUUACUUACUUGCCCUGGGUUUUCACUUGUUAAAAUCUUUCUUUUCUCAGUUAGUACCCAAAGCACAAAUCCGUGAUUGGCUUAUGCAGAAAGUGUGAGGUGAACAGUUCAUUCAAUUCCUUGCAUCUCCAAAAGAUGAAACAGCAGUAAGAAAACAAUUGUGAUGUCUCAUUUCAUUUAAUCUGCUUUUAUUGUGCAAGUGCUCAUGGUAUUAGAAUACCCUCACUAACGACUGCACUGUGGUUAUCAACUGAGCCUCACUGCAGGCGUAAGGUCCUC